GUCCGCGGCGCAUUAGCUAGGUGGUGAGGUAACGGCUCACCAAGGUCGACGGAUGCGUAGCCGACCUGAGAGGGUGAUCGGCCACACUGGGACUGAGACACGGCCCAGACUCCUACGGGAGGCAGCAGUAGGGUAAUCUUCCGCAAUGGACGAAAGUCUGACGGAGCAACGCCGCGUGAGUGAUGAAGGUUUUCGGAUCGUAAAACUCUGUUGUUAGGGAAGAACAAGUUGGGGAGGAACUGACCCAACCUUGACGGUACCUAACCAGAAAGCCACGGCUAACUACGUGCCAGCAGCCGCGGUAAUACGUAGGUGGCAAGCGUUGUCCGGAAUUAUUGGGCGUAACGCGCUCGCAGGCGGUCCUUUAAGUCUGAUGUGAAAUCUCGCGGCUCAACCGCGAACGGUCAUUGGAAGCUGGAGGACUUGAGUACAGAAGAGGAGAGUGGAAUUCCACGUGUAGCGGUGAAAUGCGUAGAGAUGUGGAGGAACACCAGUGGCGAAGGCGACUCUCUGGUCUGUAACUGACGCUGAGGAGCGAAAGCGUGGGAAGCGAACAGGAUUAGAUACCCUGGUAGUCCACGCCGUAAACGAUGAGUGCUAGGUGUUAGGGGGUUUCCGCCCCUUAGUGCUGAAGUUAACGCAUUAAGCACUCCGCCUG
rnacentral:rRNA from 1 species